rnacentral:rRNA from 1 species
UGGGGAAUCUUGCACAAUGCGCGAAAGCGUGAUGCAGCAACGCCGCGUGGGGGAAGAAGGCCUUCGGGUUGUAAACCCCUUUCAGUUGGGACGAAGCUCCGACGGUGAAUAGUCGUCUGGAGUGACGGUACCUUCACAAGAAGCCCCGGCUAACUACGUGCCAGCAGCCGCGGUAAUACGUAGGGGGCAAGCGUUGUCCGGAAUCAUUGGGCGUAAAGCGCGUGUAGGCGGCCCGGUAAGUCCGCUGUGAAAGUCAAGGGCUCAACCCUUGAAAGCCGGUGGAUACUGUCGGGCUAGAGUGCGGGAGAGGCGAGUGGAAUUCCUGGUGUAGCGGUGAAAUGCGCAGAUAUCAGGAGGAACACCGAUUGCGAAGGCAGCUCGCUGGAACGUAACUGACGCUGAGACGCGAAAGCGUGGGGAGCAAACAG